GAUGAACGCUGGCGGCGUGCUUAACACAUGCAAGUCGAACGGUGGUAGUAAUAUCACAGUGGCGCACGGGUGAGGAACACGUAGCUCAUCUGCCCUCUAGCGCGGGAUAACGGUCCGAAAGGAUUGCUAAUACCGCAUAAGCUCACGGAAUGCAGAGGUCUGUGAGAAAAGGCUUCGGUCACUAGAGGAGGAGGCUGCGGCCCAUCAGGUAGUUGGUGUGGUAACGGCGCACCAAGCCGUCGACGGGUAGGGGACCUGAGAGGGUGAUCCCCCACACUGGGACUGAGACACGGCCCAGACUCCUACGGGAGGCAGCAGUGAGGAAUAUUGCCCAAUGGACGCAAGUCUGAGGCAGCGACGCCGCGUGGGUGAAGAAGGCCUUCGGGUCGUAAAGCCCUUUUCUGUGUGACGAGCAAGGACGGUAGCACAGGAAAAAGUCUCGGCUAACUACGUGCCAGCCGCCGCGGUAAU
rnacentral:rRNA from 1 species